GCAUGCUUUUACAGUAUGGAAAUUGGUGAUUUAUAAUAACUUGGCAAAUCGCAAAGUGAAAACAGGCGAUAAAUCAUUCAAGUUUCUGACCUAUCAGCUUUCGACGGUAUGGUAUUGGCUUACCGUGGCAGUGACGGUUAACGGGGGAUUAGGGUUCGAUUCCGGAGAGGGAGCCUGAGAAACGGCUACCACAUCUAAGGAAGGCAGCAGGCGCGCAAAUUACCCAAUUCUAACAGUUUGAGAGAGGUAGUAACAAGAAAUAACAAUACAAGGCAAUUAAAAUGCUUUGUAAUUGGAAUGAUAGAAAUUUAAACCCUUUUUAAAGUAUCAAUUGGAGGGCAAGUCUGGUGCCAGCAGCCGCGGUAAUUCCAGCUCCAAUAGCGUAUAUUAAAAUUGUUGCAGUUAAAAAGCUCGUAGUUGAAGUUCUGCUAAAAGUAACCGGUCUGCUUUUAAUAAAAGUGGUAUCUUGGUGUGUAUUUAGCAAUGAUGUCCUUUGAAGUGUUUUUUACUUUAUUGUAAUAAAGCAUAUUCAGGACUUUUACUUUGAGAAAAUUAGAGUGUUUCUAGCAGGCCGACGCUUU
rnacentral:rRNA from 1 species